rnacentral:rRNA from 1 species
AUUGAACGCUGGCGGCAGGCCUAACACAUGCAAGUCGAGCGAGCGGCGGACGGGUGAGUAAUGUAUGGGGACUGCCCGAUAGAGGGGGAUAACUACUGGAAACGGUGGCUAAUACCGCAUACUAUCGGAUAACCCAUAUGGGAUUAGCUAGUAGGUGGGGUAAAGGCUCACCUAGGCGACGAUCUCUAGCUGGUCUGAGAGGAUGAUCAGCCACACGGGGACUGAGACCAGGCCCAGCCUCCUACGAAGGCAGCAGUGGGGAAUAUUGCACAAGGGUCGCAAGACUGAUGCAGCCAUGCCGCGUGUAUGAGGAAGGCCUGAGGGUUGUAAAGUACUUUCAGCGAGGAGUCGUUACCCGCAUAAGAAGCACCGGCUAACUCCGUGCCAGCAGCCGCGGUAAUUC